CCCUUAGAUGUCCUGGGCCGCACGCGUGCUACACUGAUACGUGCAAUAAGUGCUACUGCCCCGAAAGGCGGCGGUUAAUCUAUAAUACGUAUCGUGAUGGGGAUAGAUCUUUGUAAUUUUGGAUCUUGAACGAGGAAUUCCUAGUAAGUGCAAGUCAUUAUCUUGCGCUGAUUAAGUCCCUGCCCUUUGUACACACCGCCCGUCGCUCCUACCGAUUUCGAGUGGUCCGGUGAGCCUUUGGACUGGUCUGUUUCAGAUCGGAAAAUCAAGCGAACCUUAUCACUUAGAGGAAGGAUAAGUCGUAACA
rnacentral:rRNA from 1 species